rnacentral:rRNA from 1 species
GACGAACGCUGGCGGCGCGCUUAACACAUGCAAGUCGAGCGAUGAAACUUUAACAGAACCCUUCGGGGCGAAGAUAAAGUGGAUUAGCGGCGGACGGGUGAGUAACACGUGAGUAACCUGCCUUAGACAUUGGGAUAGCCUCGGGAAACCGGGAUUAAUACCAAAUAAAAUCAUAAUGACACAUGUCAUAACGAUCAAAACUCCGGUGGUCUAAGAUGGACUCGCGUCCCAUUAGCUAGUUGGUAGAGUAAAAGCCUACCAAGGCGACGAUGGGUAGCCGGCCUGAGAGGGUGAACGGCCACAUUGGAGAUGAGAAACGGUCCAAACUCCGACGGGAGGCAGCGGUGGGGAAUAUUGCACAAUGGAGGGAACUCUGAUGCAGCGACGCCGCGUGAACGAAGAAGGCUUUCGAGUCGUAAAGUUCUUUUAUAUGGGAAGAUAAUGACGGUACCAGAAGAAAAAGCCCCGGCUAACUACGUG